rnacentral:rRNA from 1 species
GGGUUGUGAGGUUAAGCGACUAAGCGUACACGGUGGAUGCCCUGGCAGUCAGAGGCGAUGAAGGACGUGCUAAUCUGCGAUAAGCGUCGGUAAGGUGAUAUGAACCGUUAUAACCGGCGAUUUCCGAAUGGGGAAACCCAGUGUGAUUCGUCACACUAUCAUUAACUGAAUCCAUAGGUUAAUGAGGCGAACCGGGGGAACUGAAACAUCUAAGUACCCCGAGGAAAAGAAAUCAACCGAGAUUCCCCCAGUAGCGGCGAGCGAACGGGGAGSAGCCCAGAGCCUGAAUCAGUGUGUGUGUUAGUGGAAGCGUCUGGAAAGGCGCGCGAUACAGGGUGACAGCCCCGUACACAAAAAUGCACAUACUGUGAGCUCGAUGAGUAGGGCGGGACACGUGGUAUCCUGUCUGAAUAUGGGGGGACCAUCCUCCAAGGCUAAAUACUCCUGACUGACCGAUAGUGAACCAGUACCGUGAGGGAAAGGCGAAAAGAACCCCGGCGAGGGGAGUGAAAAAGAACCUGAAACCGUGUACGUACAAGCAGUGGGAGCCUCUUUUAUGGGGUGACUGCGUACCUUUUGUAUAAUGGGUCAGCGACUUAUAUUCUGUAGCAAGGUUAACCGAAUAGGGGAGCCGAAGGGAAACCGAGUCUUAACCGGGCGUUAAGUUGCAGGGUAUAGACCCGAAACCCGGUGAUCUAGCCAUGGGCAGGUUGAAGGUUGGGUAACACUAACUGGAGGACCGAACCGACUAAUGUUGAAAAAUUAGCGGAUGACUUGUGGCUGGGGGUGAAAGGCCAAUCAAACCGGGAGAUAGCUGGUUCUCCCCGAAAGCUAUUUAGGUAGCGCCUCGUGAAUUCAUCUCCGGGGGUAGAGCACUGUUUCGGCAAGGGGGUCAUCCCGACUUACCAACCCGAUGCAAACUGCGAAUACCGGAGAAUGUUAUCACGGGAGAC